GCAUCAGUGGCUCAGUUGGGUAAAUGCUUGCCUUUGGCUCAGAAGGUCGGGGGUUCGACCCCCACUGGAGCC